rnacentral:lncRNA from 1 species
UUAUCAAUGUCUUCAAGAUGAAUAGAACUAUCACUAAAAGCAAUCGCUUCGUACUCCGUCUUUUUUUCCUUUAGUUUUUCCUAAUAAAAAAAUCAUAUAGUUAGGAACGCAAUAUAUAUUAAAAAAAACAAAUGCAAUAUAACAAUAGUCGCAUUACAAGCAAUGAAUUAAACCAUUAGAAAAUAAACACUAUAAAUAACUAAAACAAGUCAAAUCGUAUUAAGUAAACGUACCAUAAUUUCACCAGCUUCAGGAGUCAUAGCAGAUCCAUCUUUCUUCUUAUGUGUAAUUUCAAAAAGUUGAAGGCGUCCAACUUUUUGACCGGACGACCGUUCCUACAAUAUAGUAGUAAAAAUAUUAUUUAAUAGAAAGUUAUACAUAUUUGAGAAUAUUAAAAAAUUAAAAAUACCUCCGCUUCAGCUACACAUGCAAAACUUCUUGACCCGGCUGUGUGAGUGAAUUUUUGUUGCUGCCGGCUGCUUUUUCCAACUCAUUCACGAUCCUACGUUAUAAAAAUUUUAGUACGUAAAUAGUAAAUACUAUAAACCAAAGUAAUUACAAUAGUUUGGAAGUACGUCGUAUCUCGCCUUUCUAAGAAUGCCAAAAUCUAACUGCAUCUUCCUAUUGGUACCUCAACAUACCCGGCGGGACAUUUUGCAAUUUCUCAUCGAGGGUUUUUUUUGUCUUAUAAUAAUUUUUCUUCAAAGUUCUUUUAUUGUCUCUCCAUCUUUUUCCCAAUGCCUUCUUUACAUAAGCAUCCGAGACCUCUAAAGCAAACAUCGCCUACAAAAAACACAAGUUAAUAAAGUAAAUAUAAAUGAAACUAUUUCCCAAGCAUUACAGAUGACAUUAACAUUUUGUUACCUUAAUAUUAUCGAGGGCUUGGUUUUUGUUGCUAUCGGGCAUUUGACGCCAUGACUCGUAGUUGAUAGGCAACAUAUUCACAUUUCGUGCUAAAAUGCCCAUGUAUCCUGCUAAAAUUUGAACUUCUGGUCCAAUAGGCUGACCAAAACUGUUUCUGCAUACCUUGACACGCUCGACUGGAUCUAACUCGUAUAACUCUCUAAGUAGCGUACGUCCUCGACCUCUGCGCAUCCCACCAUUUUCAGCUACAAAUGGUAUAUUAUAAUAUAAGAAUUUGAAAAAUAAAUCAAUUAUAAGUCAACAAGCAAGUAAUUAAUGCAAGUUACUUUGAACUUUCGUAGGAUCCUCAGGUGUAAUCGGAACAUUCGAAGAUCCAAUUGCUGUUUGUUGUUCAGUACUAUUUGUUUCUGUCGAGUUUGGAUCAUUUUGAACAAUACUUUCCCUUAUAAUUUUUCUUCUAGGCAUUUUAUCUGCAAUACACAUAAAUUGUAAUUAAACUUAAUAACUAAUUACAACAAUAACAACACAUAUAAAAUAGUUGAAAUAUAUAACAAGACCAAGAUUUAAUACUAAUGUAAGUUAUAUAUAAUUAAACAAUCGUAAAAUCUUACUACAAUAUUAUUCGUAAAUAUCUUCAUCCGUAUCCUGACGAACCCGUUGAAAUUGUGCACUAGUACUAGGGAUAUUAUCGUUUAAGUUUUGUUCUGGAAAUGACAAAGUUUCUGAUUUGUCGUCGAUGUUAUCUCUACUUCCACUGCCCAUGUCAAACAAGUCUCUAGGGAUGUUACGGAGUACAACGUACCAACCCUCAUCAGUUGGAUCUUUUGAGUAAAAAACUUGUUUGACUUGACUUGAGAAUACAUACGACUCAUCUAUCAGUUGUUGUCCUGUGUGAAUCAAUCGGUCAAAGUUCACCAUUGUAAAACUAAAUUGAUCUUGCUUGAUUCCACGAGCUAUAUUAACAUCGGCCCAAUCACCUCGAAAUAAGACAACUUUCCAUUUGUCGUAGUAAUCCAACUCAAUUAUGUCAGUAAGAUGUCUGAAAUAUUCCACAUUUCCCUCGACAAGAUUAUUGUCCCUAGCACUAGCAUAACUUGUAAUUGCAAAAUUAACAACUAUUCCACAAUUUUGCGUUCCCCUCAACCUCUCGCGAUAUUUUGUAUGAAAUCUGAAUCCGUUGAUGAGGAACAUACUAUAUCUUUUAACCACUCGAUUUGGACCUUGAGAGAGCCAUUUAACUUCGUCGUUUACGCUCUUCCCACUCUAAACCUAUUGAAUGGAAAGUAAACUGAGUAAUUAAAAAUGUUAUGAGAAAGCAUUAUAAUUUGUAAGUGGAAGCUCCAACUGCAUACCGUUUGGCUUAACCAUUCAUAAAAAGAUUCUGUAAACAACUUAUUGAUAUCUCGAUGUUGUGUUCUUCGGGAGCGCGAACGAGAUCUCAAUAUUUGUUUGUACUCACUAUGUUAAAAAAAUGUGAUCUUUGUUAGAAGAUAAACAAUUUUUAGUUUGAUAAAUAUUUAUAAAAUUUGUAGAACUUACUUCUGUAAAGGUUCCAAUGAUUCGUGGUGAAACAGAACAUAUCGAUGUGCUUGUACCCACGAUAAAUGAUCUAAUUCCACAAUUUCAACUUUGCCGAUUGGUUCUCCAAAACUUUGGAACAAAUAAGUAUCGGCUAAGUUAUAGUCUGUGAGUCCAGCAUUCCUAUUUGGUCUGUUCAACCUUGUUUUGACAUCUUGCAAAUAUCUUGAGCAGAAGGUCAUACAUUCCUCUGCCAAGUAGCCUUCAGCAAUCGAUCCUUCUGGAUAUCGCUUGUUGCGGCAGUAAGACUUUAAUUUGGAUAGGAACCUAAACACAAUAUACAACAUUAUCAAAAGUUGUAACUAAAGGCAUAGAGGUGAAUGAAGGAAAAUUUUAAAAAUACUUCUUUAACACCUUUCUAUGGGAUACAUCCAUCGAUAGAAAAUGGGUCCGCCAAGAAUUACUUCGUGCGGGAGAUGAAUUAUCAAUGAACCAUAAUGGUGAAGAAGAAAGGUGGGAAGAUUUUCUCCAUGUUGCAUAAAGUCAAAGCGGCUCGAUCCUGUACCUUCUGAAGUUCUUAAACAUCCAAAACUUUGCCACAAAUGGCUUUCAUUAUGUUGGAUAGUUUAAUGAUACAAGACGUCACCUUCUUGGACAUACAACAUCGUAGAGCAACUGGCAUUAAAUCUUGCAUCAAGAUGUGAUAGUCAUGUGAUUUUAGUGAAUAUAAUCUUCGAUUUUUAACACUAACACAUCGAGAUAUAUUUGAUGCAUACGCAUCUGGAACCAUUAUAUCCUUCAACACCAUGCAAAACAGUUCUUUCUCCAUCUUGGACAUUGAGAAAAUAGAAGGCAGCAACCGAUAUUUCCCAUUCAGAAGUGGAUUGGGAUGAAGAUCAGGCCGAAUUCCCAUUUGGACUAAAUCAAUUCGACUCUGAAGAUUGUCUUUUGAUUUUCCGUCGACGUUCAAAAUUGUACCCACAAUGUUCUCGCAGACAUUUUUCCCAAUGUGCAUAACAUCAAGAUUGUGUCGUAAAAGGUGAUGCUCCCAAUAAGGAAACUCAAAAAAUACUUCUUUUUUUCCACAAGUCCGCCUCAUUAGGAUCGUCCUCUUCGUCGGAGCUUUCAUCCCCUUCAUCAUUUGAUCUUCUGUUUCUCUGUGUGUUUGGUGGUUGGUUCAUCUUCCCAUAAAUGAAAUUCAUAUCUUUCAACAUGAACAAGAUUUCAAAGCCACUGGUCUGGGAAGGAGCUUCUCUGAACUCUUCAGUGUCGUCAAAUACAGAACUUGAAAUCUAAAUCUAUGAUUUUCCAGUAACCACCGACGAUGCCCCAUGUAAGAAAACUUCUUCCCAUUAUACAACCAUUGCGAACAUGUUUGUGCAGCACAACAAGGACACGCAUAACGACCCUUGGUACUCCAACCGGAUAAAUUGGCAUAAGCGGGAAAGUCAUUAAUGGUCCACAUCAAAGCCGCACGUAAAUUAAAGUUCUCCUUUUUCACCACAUCGUAUGUCUCGACACCAGCCCAUAAUUGUUUUAACUCUUCAAUAAGUGGCUGUAAAUAAAUGUCGAUAUCAUUCCCGGGCCCUUUCUCACCAGGGAUAAUCAUAGAUAAGAUAAGGGAAGAUUGCUUCAUGCAAAUCCACGGAGGCAGAUUAUAAGGAACAAGCACUACUGGCCAAGUACUGUACGCAGUGCUCAUGAUCUUAAAAGGAUUAAAUCCAUCAGAUGCUAGCCCAAGCCUCACACUCCUAGGAUCGCUUGCAAAGCCUGGAAAUUUAUUGUCAAAUGAUUUCCAAGCUAAAGAAUCUGCCGGAUGCCUUAGUAAUCCAUCAUCGGUUCGUCCAUCAUGGUGUCACGUCAUUGACUCCGCUGUCUUGGACGACAUGAAUGGCCUUUGAAGCCUUGGUAUCAGGGGAAAAUACCGUAAAAUCUUGACUGGCUUCUUUCUCGACUGUGCACCAUUUUUAUCGUCAUUCCCAUCUUCUGUGUUUCUACUAAUCCAACGGGAUUGGCCGCAUACAUGACAGCACUAUUGGUCAUUUCGAUCGCCUCAAUACAACAUACAAUCAUUUGGGCAACUAUGGAUUUUGUUGUACCCAAGGCCUAAAUCUUUUAUCAUUUUCUUCAUAUCUUUGCAUGACUGAGGGAUUUUUGCAAACGGAAACAUUUCUCUUAAAAACUCUAACAGCAUUGUCAACGAGUUUCCGGUCCACCCUCCCAAACAUUUUAACUGAAAAAGAUGAACAGAGAAAGACAUUUUUGAAAAUUUUGAUCCCUCAUACAGUUCUUCGUUCAUGUCAUUAAAUAGCGCGUGGAACUUUGCCGCUUCUUCAUUCGGCUCUUCAUGAGAUACACUACUUCCCGGUUCGGUAAAAGUAUUUCUCCCAAUAUUACAAUCAUCAGAAGCCACAAAGUCCACUGAGAACGACUGGACACCAUGAUUGUGCAUAUUAAAUGCAUCCCGCAACAUACCUUCCAUGUCAUCCCCUCUAUCAGACUGAUGGUAAGCAGGACCAGAGUAAGAUACAUCCAUCGUUGAAGAGGAAGUACUAGGCGGGCAUUCUCCAUGAAAAAACCAUUGUUUAUAACCCCGAACAAACCCAUCAACAAUUAGAUGCUCGUAUACAACCUCACGACAAUGCUAGUUUAUGUUGACACACUUCUUACACGGGCAAAGAAUCAUGUUCUCCUGGCUUGCAUAUUGAAAUGCAAGAUUUAGAAAAUAUUGUACUCCAUUUCGAUAACCGUUGCUAACCCUUGACAAAUUCAUCCAAGACCGGUCCAUUUCUUAAUUCUUGAAGUCUGACGUUGACAAUAAUUUGCACGAGUAAGUUAAAAUGCCAGUUAUAACCAUAAAUGAAUUACAGAAAUUUGUGAUAUGAUAUAUUUUAAUGUAUUAUGUAAGUUAUGUAAGUUAUGUAUUAUGUAUUAUGUAUUAUGUAAGUACUGUAAGUAAUGUACGUUAUUUAAUUUAUGUAGGUUAUGUAAGUCCACGGAAUUUAUGUAAGUUAUUUAAUUUAUGUAAGUUAUGUAAGUUAUUUAAUUUAUGUAGGUUAUGUAAGUUAUGUAAGUUAUUUAAUUUAUGCAAGUUUAUGUAAGUUAUGUAAGUUAUUUAAUUUAUGUAGGUUAUGUAAGUUACGUAAGUUAUUUAAUUUAUGCAAGUUUAUGUAAGUUAUGUAAGUUAAUUAAUUUAUGCAAGUUUAUGUAAGUUAUGUAAGUUACUUAAUUUAUGUAAGUUAUGUAAGUUAUUUAAUUUAUGUAAGUUAUGCAAGCUUAUAUACAAGUUAUGUAUUAUAACAUAAAGUAUUAUGUAAUUUAUGUUGUUAUUAUAUAUAAGUUAUGUAAAUUAUUAUGUAAGUGGUGUAUUAUGUAACUUAUGUAGAAAACUUAUAAACUUAAUACACAUAUAUUUUAUUUCUCCCAAAUUUAGAACACUUAUUUAGAAAACGAAGUAAAUUUAAUACUAAUAAAUUUUAAUACAAAUAAAUUUAGAAAACUUAUUUAGAAAACUUAUAAAUUUAGAAAACUUAUAUAGAUAUUAAAACAAUUAAGUACAAUUGUUUUGAAAACUUACAAAUUUUAUAGUAACAAGUUUUAAAUAUAGGUUAUAUACCCAUACCAUAUACAAAUUAUCAUUUACAAAUCUUUUUUAAUUUUAAAAUGUUACUAUUACAAAAAAAUGAAAUGUAGGUUAAAAUGCCCAUAUUAAUAUAUGUAAUAUAAAAAAGAAUAUAAAUUUAAAUAUUUACGAUAUAAUAUUUCUGUCCAAUAUUUUAAUAUUUACGAUAUAGUAUUGCAAACCGAAACAUAUUGCAUUUUUGGCACGAUUGAUUGCUAGGAAACCAUCUUUUGUGUUCAAUUUCUAAGCAUUGCAAACUGUUACCAAUUAAGUAAAAUCUUUCAUUUCAAAUAAAUAAAACCUAACACAUGCUCAUGAUCUUGUGAUUUAAGCAAACUGUAAAAUAUUUCAUUUCAAAUAAAUAAAACAGUAUUAUGAAAUCAUAAAAUAGAAUUUGGAAGAUAUAACCAUCAAAUAUUCGCAUUAUAUUUGCAUUUCAACCUCUGCAUUUCAAACAUAUUCAAUAUCAACAGAAAAGGAAAACAACUCUCGGUUGCUUCUAAACAAACAUUGCUGACUUUAAUGGCCUUAUUCUGUAAUUACAACAGAAAACAUGACUUUGAAGGGUAAAUACUACUAUAAUUGUAGCUUUUGACAUACAAAGUUAAGAACAACUAGCUGCUGCUAUCAACUUAGGCAUCCAUGUUUCAUUGUCCUUCAAUGAAAGGGAUUAGAGACAAAUAAACAAUUAUGGGGUUUGAAUUUUAAUCAAUAAUUACAUCACCAUCAUUUAACUCGUAGCUUUUCUCAUCACCUUCUCCCCACUUCAAAAUGAUUGUCCAAACACAAUCCAUAACACAAUCCACUUCAAAAUUUUGAAGCGUGUAUAAUGUAAACGAACCGAACAGAAAAACCUUUUUGGACAUACACAAUCCAUAACAUUUUCCAGCUAUGAAACAGGAUUGAAGGUAUUCAAUCAUAAAUUAUUUUAUUUCAUCAAAAGCAUUUCCCUAUUUUAAGCAUUAAUUUUAAUUUUAUUACGUAUGUAAAAAUUACAUUUUUAAAAUAUAUGUCAGACCACAUAAACAAUUAGAUUUAAGACCCAGAAAACAUCUAACAUACCGAAUAAUGCAAGAAAUAGAAAACGAACUUACCUUAACUGCAAUGAACAGUAGACGACUUCACUCGUAGAAAAUAAGAGCAACAAUUGGAAUGCCCAAGUUGAAUGGCCUACAGAUAGCAACACAAGCAACACAGAAUUUAAAGUGAAAGGAAAAACAAAGCGAGCAUUAGAGAAAGAAAAAAUCAAACAGAAAAAUGAAUAGCCAUAUACGUAUUCAACGAAGAAAUUAAGGAUUUGGAAAGAUUUUUACCAGUCAGCCCAGACGAGAAGCAAUAUUCGAUCGAAAAGAGGGGAAAUCAUCGUUGAAGGGGUGAAUGGUCUAUGGAAUUUAAAGAGAAAGGAAAAACAAAGCGGGCAUUACAGAAAGAAAAAAUUGAACAUAAAAAUGAACAGCCAUAUACGGAGUCAACGGAGAAAUUAGGGAUUUGGAAAGUUUUUUACCAAUCAGCCCAGACGAGAAGCGAUAUUCAACCGAGAAGAGGGGAAAUCAUCGUUGAAAAGGUGAAAGGUCUAGGGAUUUGCAGGAGAGAAGAAAGAUGGAGGGAGAGUUGGGGUGGGGG